rnacentral:rRNA from 1 species
UACAGAGGUCUCAAGCGUUGUUCGGAUUCAUUGGGCGUAAAGGGUGCGUAGGUGGUGAUGCAAGUCUGGUGUGAAAUCUCGGAGCUCAACUCCGAAAUUGCACCGGAUACUGCGUGACUCGAGGACUGUAGAGGAGAUCGGAAUUCACGGUGUAGCAGUGAAAUGCGUAGAUAUCGUGAGGAAGACCAGUUGCGAAGGCGGAUCUCUGGGCAGUUCCUGACACUGAGGCACGAAGGCCAGGGGAGCAAACGGGAUUAGAACCUCGUAGUCAGUCCAAGACCAU